AUUUUGAAUGUCUAUAUUUUUGUAUUAUGUAAAACCAAGUACAAGGAAAGCUCAUAUAAAUGAGCGGAAGAAGGGAAAAGAAAACAGAAGCCGAAAGAAAGGUGAGGACAAGCAGAAAACAUGGAAAAGUAAAGGUGAGGAAAACAUGGAAAAGUAAAGGUCACCAUACACCCAUGCUUUCUGUCACUAUACACCCAUCACCAUACACCCAUGCUUUCUUCCAAUA